rnacentral:rRNA from 1 species
CAGAGGGUGCGAACGUUGCUCGGAAUUACUGGGCGUAAAGCGCAUGUAGGCGGGUCGGCAAGUCAGAUGUGAAAUCCCCGGGCUCAACCCGGGAACUGCAUCUGAAACUGCUGGUCUUGAGUACUGGAGAGGGUGGCGGAAUUCCUGGUGUAGAGGUGAAAUUCGUAGAUAUCAGGAGGAACACCGGUGGCGAAGGCGGCCACCUGGACAGUAACUGACGCUGAGAUGCGAAAGCGUGGGGAGCAAACAGGAUUAGAUACCCUGGUAGUCCACGCCGUAAACGAUGGGUGCUAGGUGUCUCGGGUAUUGACCCCUGAGGUGCCGUAGCUAACGCGUUAAGUAUGCCGCCUGAGGACUACGGCCGCAAGGCUA